AAAGGUGCCUUCUUCGGAAGGUGUCACCAGGGGAUGGGUUUGCGUUCUAUCAGCUUGUUGGUGGGGUAACGGCUCACCAAGGCAAUGACGGAUAGCUGGUCUGAGAGGAUGGUCAGCCACACUGGGACUGAGACACUGCCCAGACUCCUACGGGAGGCUGCAGUCGAGAAUCAUUCGCAAUGCGCGCAAGCGUGACGAUGCGACGCCGCGUGGAGGAUGACGGCCUUCGGGUUGUAAACUCCUGUCAUGAGGGAACAAAGCUUGCGGGUUAAUACCCCGGGAGUGUGAUGGUACCUCAAGAGGAAGUCACGGCCAACUCUGUGCCAGCAGCCGCGGUAAUACAGAGGUGGCAAGCGUUGUCCGGAUUUACUGGGCGUAAAGGGUGCGUAGGCGGUACGGUAUGUCGGAUGUGAAAUCUCGCAGCUCAACUGUGAAACGUCAUUCGAAACUGCCGAACUAGAGUACUGGAGAGGAGAGCGGAAUUCUUGGAGUAGCGGUGAAAUGCGUAGAUAUCAAGAAGAACACCGGUGGCGAAGGCGGCUCUCUGGACAGUUACUGACGCUGAGGUACGAAAGCCAGGGGAGCGAAGAGGAUUAGAUACCCUCGUAGUCCUGGCAGUAAACGAUGUGCACUUGGUGUGGGGAGGAGUUAUCCCCUUUCCGUACCGGAGUUAACGCGUUAAGUGCACCGCCUGGGGAGUACGGCCGCAAGGCUAAAACUCAAAGGAAUUGACGGGGGCCCGCACAAGCGGUGGAGCAUGUGGCUUAAUUCGAUGCAACGCGAAGAACCUUACCUGGGUUUGACAUGCCCGUCGUAUUCUCCUGAAAGGGAGAAGUCAGUUCGGCUGGACGGUGCACAGGUGCUGCAUGGCUGUCGUCAGCUCGUGCCGUGAGGUGUUGGGUUAAGUCCCGCAACGAGCGCAACCCUUGUGUUUAGUUGCCACUCCCGAUUCUGUCGGGAAGCACUCUAGACAGACUGCCCGUGACAAGCGGGAGGAAGGAGGGGAUGACGUCAAGUCAGUAUGGUCCUUAUACCCAGGGCUGCACACGUGCUACAAUGGCCGGUACAGAGGGCGGCGACGCCGCGAGGCGAAGCAAAUCCCCAAAACCGGUCUUAGUUCGGAUCGCAGUCUGCAAUUCGACUGCGUGAAGUUGGAAUCGCUAGUAAAUGCGUAUCAGCAAUGGCGCAUUGAAUUCGUUCCCGGGCCUUGUACA
rnacentral:rRNA from 1 species